UUCCAGACUCCUACGGGAGGCAGCAGUGAGGAAUAUUGGUCAAUGGGCGAGAGCCUGAACCAGCCAAGUCGCGUGGGGGAGUACUGCCCUAUGGGUUGUAAACCUCUUUUGUCGGGGAGCAAAAGCCGGACGUGUCCGGCUGUGAGAGUACCCGAAGAAAAAGCAUCGGCUAACUCCGUGCCAGCAGCCGCGGUAAUACGGAGGAUGCGAGCGUUAUCCGGAUUUAUUGGGUUUAAAGGGUGCGCAGGCGGAUUUUUAAGUCAGCGGUCAAAUCGUGGGGCUCAACCCCAUCCAGCCGUUGAAACUGGGGAUCUAGAGUGUGCGAGAGGUAUGCGGAAUGCGUGGUGUAGCGGUGAAAUGCUUAGAUAUCACGAAGAACUCCGAUUGCGAAGGCAGCUCACUGGACUGCAACUGACACUGAGGCUCGAAAGUGUGGGUAUCAAACAGGAUUAGAUACCCGGGUAC
rnacentral:rRNA from 1 species